rnacentral:lncRNA from 1 species
AUGGUAAACCAUACGGUACCAUCCUCGGAUGCAGCUUUAAGGUCUCUGGUGUGACCAAUGGCUCAAGAAGAGGCCUAAUACUAUUAAAAACUUGAUCUUUAUCAUAACCUGAAUCGACAAAAAUAGCCCCAGCUAAGGAUUCUAUAACAUCUCCAAGUACCUACAAAAAAUACCCAAAAAGAAAAAAAUUAAUUAAAUUUAGAAACUGAUGUGAAUAAGAGCCCACAUAUUGUUUUACGUCUUUUAGGGUGUUUGGAUGUGUGUUUUGAAAACGAUUAUAUGGUGUAGAAUCAUCAAAAUAAGUUAAUCAAAUAUGCAAUAUCAUGUUAUCCUUCUAAUUUUCUGUUUUGUUGUAUAACUAAAAGAAACCAAUUACACAACCGAAUUUUUGAACACACGCAAAAAAAGAAAACUGACCUUAGGAAAAGAUGUCU